AGCAUUCUAAAUUUAGAAUGUAAAUAAGCCCAAAAUAAAAAUGACCAUGAAAGGGAAGAAAACAUUAUUUUGCUGUUAAUAUUUAUUUAACUGUGUUUUCAUACACCUAAUUUAUCUAAUUUGCAAACACUUUUACUCUCAAUGUUUUGCAUGCAUGUUCUCAACAAUGAUCAAUGAUGAUGUCAAGAAAACAUUCUUGUUAAAGAGAA
rnacentral:lncRNA from 1 species